CAAAUUGUUAGCUUCGACUUUAUAUCUGCUGUGUGAAUUUAUUUUUCUGGCUGUGAUUGCUUAUACGCCGUCGUUGGCACUUUCAACCUCUACUGGAAUUCACGUGCAUUUAAUAUCUUCUACGACAUGUGCUAUAUGUGUCUUUUAUACAGCAAUCGGAGGACUACAAACAGUGGUUUGGACGGAUCUUUUCCAAUAUGCUGUAAUUAUAGUAGCACUGUUCACGGUAUCUAUUGUUGGUACUAUUUCAAGUGGAGGUUUCGUAUCAGUAUGGGAGGAAGCUUUAAAAGGCGACAGACUUAAUAUAUUUGAUUUUGAUCCGAAUCCAACAAAACGAGACAGUUUUUGGACUUAUUUCUUUGGAUAUACGGCCCACUUUACUAACUACAUCAGUCUUACUCAAUCUGGAUUACAGAAAUUUUUGGCUCUACCAACGUUUCGUGAAAGUGUGUGGUCCGUGAUUUAUGUCGCUGUUUGCCUAAGCAUCGUAUAUACUUUCGUUGUCUUCAUUGGUCUUCUCAUGUAUGCACAAUAUUCAAAAUG